UACGUAGGGUGCAAGCGUUGCCCGGAUUUAUUGGGCGUAAAGAGCGUGUAGGCGGCCAGACAGGUCCGUUGUGAAAACUCGAGGCUCAACCUCGAGACGUCGACGGAAACCGUCUGGCUAGAGUCCGGAAGAGGAGUGUGGAAUUCCUGGUGUAGCGGUGAAAUGCGCAGAUAUCAGGAAGAACACCUAUGGCGAAGGCAGCACUCUGGGACGGUACUGACGCUGAGACGCGAAAGCGUGGGGAGCGAACAGG
rnacentral:rRNA from 1 species